ensembl:snRNA U6 U6 spliceosomal RNA
GUGCUCCCUUUGGCAGCAUAUAUGCUAAAAUUGAAACGAUACAGAGAAGAUUAGUAUGGCCCCUGUGCAUGGAUGACAUGAAAAUUCGUGAAGUGCUCUAUAUUUAA